UUCUAGAAUUGCUCAUGGUAACCU
rnacentral:siRNA from 1 species